AGCGCAGUUAGCUCAGUUGGUUAGAGCACAGUGCUGAUAACACCACGGUUGUGGGUUCAAUCCCCAUCCGGGCCA